CCUGGAGGAGCAGACGGCGGCCCUUUCUGGGUUGUGAGACUACAGAAAAAACUUUCAAUGAUAAUCAAUGGUCUGUGGCUUCUCCUGGUUCCUGUUGUGCCAGGUGAUUAAUUGAUGAAGUUAUCUGAUAUCUUCAUAGCUAUUGCACAUGAACUGGUAUGCUGCAUGGUAAUGAGAGGCACACUGCAUGGUGCAUUAGGUGAUGAUGUUAAACUUACAGUUGGGUAUUCGAAGGAUAUAAGCGUAAAUCCUUUAUCUCGGAGGGUCUUUUCUUUGAAGUGGGUGUACAUGGUAUAUUUAUCUCCGCUAUAAGAAAAUCAGCAUUCGUCAUGCUCUCUGUUAUUGCAGAUGUGAAGAAUCUUUUCAGUUUCUAUAUCUAUCUCAUGUUAUUUCUUUGUAUUUCUAUUGCUUGCUUUAUAUUGUGUUUCCAUUUACUUUACACUGAUUUAUUUUCGGUCUCUUCUUUAGUUUUAGGUUCUCGGAUAUUAGGUUGGCUAGAGAAGAAAAUGGAUCGACUAUGAAAAAUAAAUUAGCAAGGCGUAAUUAAGAUUUUCUGAAACACUUCAUUUAGAAUUGGUAGGCUUUGUAGUGAUUGCGCCACUGUCAUUUUGUUCUACCUCUACAAAAGCCCCACAAAGUAUAACCUCUGGAUCUACAAAAGCCUAGGUUAUUGUACAUGCUCAUACACAUUUACUCUUCUGUCAUUAUAUUACUUGGUAAUUAGUAUGAGGGUGCAAGCCAUUGAUCUUUUGCUGUGUAAUAGAGGUAGGGAAAAGACUCUUCUACUUCUAUUAUAAAGGCUGGCUAUAAAAUGUCAAGUUAUUAGAUGCUUUGCCUUUUUCUGGUUCAAAACAAGUGACGCAACUCAGGUUUUCAGCCAUUGAUAUUUUCAUGUGUAAUAAAAGUGAGAUCUUGCUUAUUUAGUAUGCAUGUUUUUAUCCUUUGACCCGAUGUUCUUAUAGGUUGUCUUAAUAACAUGUUAUAUAUGUACCGGGAAUCCCCUUUUAUUCCUGCUGUAAAGGUUAGAGUUGAUUAGCAAUUUGGAAGCUUUUCAAGUGGUUUGUGAAGCUCCUAUGGUUACUUACAUGCACAUCAUGAACAAAUACAUGUGUGAUGGUCAGUACUCAUUUGAAAAAAAAACAAUGGUAGUUGUGUUUCCAUGGUCUGGUAAUAAUGUAGACUGAAGCUGCUCAGUUUUUUUCAGUACUCCGAUAUUUUUAUUGCCCAAAACCAAACUACUCACUCUGAUCCAUAGUUGUCAGUGAUUUAGUAUAACUUUAUUCUAAAAAUCUAAGUGAGCGACAACUAAUAUCAAUCGAAGGGAGUAUAAGACUCAGUAUGUAGUUAUGUACUAUGUAGCUUAGAUCCAGGAAAAGUGCAAUACUAUGUAUUUGUUCUGUAAUCUUUUAAAUGAUGUGUUUCCAAAUCUAUUGAUAGAGGUGACUUUGCGCUUGCAAAAUUACCGAAAUCUAAUGACCUCGCAUCUUCCUGGGUAAUCAAAUAAUUUGUUGUAUUUCUUGUGCAUGUCACAUUGUGUUCUUUCUACUAUGUUGCCCUGUCCCAGGU